UUCUGAUACAUAAUUGAAAUAUUUUGCUCGUCCAACUCGUUCAGUUUGGAAUUUUAAUGUGUGAUUGAUUGAACAAUCCGUAGUUAUUGAGUCAAUACAAUUGUGUAAGUCAUGUGACUUGGUCGCACGCACGCUUUUCUCCCAUGCUUUUUUGUAGUCCUUGUAUAUUACACUUAUUUUUUUCCUCAUCUUCAAUGAUUGUAAGACUUGUCACUUAGAAUCUGCAAGGGAGAACCUUGCUUUCUCUUGAAAAUAUGCUUUUGACUCGCCUAUUGUGUAUGUCGGCUGAAUUCUCUUCACCACGUAAUUCGUGAAGCUACGAUCUCUGUAUUUCUUUUUUCCAUAACUAGUUUUCCCCAUAAAGAAUUCAAUUGACUUUUUUUGCGUCAUAGUAUUGUGAGCAAACAACGCAAAGUGACACAAAGUGUGCCAGCUUCCAUUGAACCCAAUGGGCCAAACUUUGUCAUCGUUGUCGAUAUUUGGUACGCGCGUGUUUUGCACUGCAAAAUGACAUAAAGUAAUGCUAUACCAGCGGCAUAAUUUGGUGUGGACGUUUUACCAAAUGGACAAAGGACACAUCAGAUGAUGCACAACAUAUGUCGCCUACGCAAGUUUUGAGUAAGCUUAUUAAGUAUUGUGUAAAUGUAUUACGGUAGUAAAUACAAAAUUAACGAGGUUUGGCCCUUAUUAAGUGUCGAUUAGUUUGGCCUAUACAUUAACAUUUGUUUGGCCUAUGGUAACAUUACUUUUGCCUACGUUAACAUUAGCUUGGCCUACGAUAACAUUUGUUUGGCCUACGAUAACAUUAGUUUGGCCUACGAUAACAUUAGUUUGGCCUACGAUAACAUUAGUUUGGCCUACGACAAUAUUAGUUUGGCCUAACAUAGCUUUAGAACUAAAGUGGGUAAGUUUGUGAGGCCAUGGCUAAGGACAAAUUUACAGCCAAUUGUGCGAGGAGUGGCAUGAUGUACCUAACAAAGCCUAGCCGCGUGCAAGGCCGAGUCUUUUCUAUGUUCUCUAACAUCCGACUGCAGCUGAGAUGUGAAGCUGUGGAGGAAGCUAAAGGUGUACUGGAGACGGAAGGCACGUCGCGACUGAUGUAACAAGGAACCGGAAGUGGGGAGGAUGAUGGGAGACCGAUGACCUUAGCUGCUUGCUGUACUUCCCACAAUUCGUGCCUGAGGUUACUGAGGACCAGACGACCUGGUGGCGGCUUCACAACCGGGGAUUCAACUUUCAAGCCUGGUUCAGCCUUUUGAUGGUCACACACAGACUCUUCUAAGCUUGCCACAUUUCAACAGAUGAAGAGGCGACGCACACCCCCAACCCUUCAACGGUUUUUGCGGUAGUGACAAUCGCGUUUAUAGAUGAUCAUUCAAAUCUCAUUUCGUGCUUACUACCCCGUUCAACGUAGCCAAAAAUGCAUUAAGCUCAGUUAACCAACGAUACAACCAACCAGUAAAAAUCUGUACCCUUAUCCAAAUGAAACAAGUAAAAUAUGCUACAAUGGUGUUGUUUGUAUUUUGUAACAUGUUUACAUCAUAUUUUUCUAAAAUGAAGUAAACUAUGUUUGUACUUUAAUUUAAGAUUCGAAUCUGGGACUCAAUUUUCAGUUCAUAACUUGUAUCAGUGUAUACUGUCAUGAGUAUUUUUAAACGUAGUGGUGGCGGUAGGAUAGGGACAUUACAGCUGAUCGUUUUGUGUGGUAUUAGCCACGCCCCUUUUGUAGUUGGCCACACCCCGCAUGAACACAUCAUAAGAUUUGCAUAUAUUUUACAGGGGUGAGAUUUGUGAGCAUUUUAUUUUAGAAAAUCCCUUUUGAAUCUGACAUUUCUGAGAAUUUACCAUAAAGGUGUCAUUAACUAAAAUGUUUAUAGAGAACAAAAGAAGUGUAUUUGAAAAGGAAUGAUUGGGCAAAAACAUCGUGCUACCUAUUGUCUGAGGGCCUGAUUGGCCUUCCCCAGUUUUUAGCUUAUUUUUCGUUUUUCUCCAACCUAUGAGUCCUAAUUUUAGUACUAUAUUGUCCAUAACUCUUUUGCCAGAAGCAUAAACUCUUGCUAAAAACGAAGAAAAUUGUGCUCAUGCAUUUUGAAAAAAUUGUGCCACAAACGGCUCAAAUUUGAUUGUAAAAAACUACUCCAGACAACACCAUGUUUCUCUCUAAUAUCUUCAUUGGGUUUUUGUUAUUUUGUUGUGUGUGCACUUUUCUUUAUUCUCGAGCACGGGUUUUGUUGUGUUGUUUUGUGCUUUUAUUUGAAGUUCAGUGUUCAAAUAAUUUGACUAACAUAACGCAAGGGAGAAACAUGGUUUGUAGCGAGUAUAAUAAUCACAAAAAGUGAGCACAAUGAUAACAUUCAGUGGCAAAAAAUCAGAUUCACGUUCUUGAAGCCUUAACUCCCUACUGUCUUUUACUAAGUGAUGGACCAAGUCAGCCAAAAUCCAUCAAUCACACUGCUUCCAAUGCAUGCUUUGCUUUAGGCCUCCAAACCCAAAUCCAUCAUACUCCAUCAAUAUUUGGUCACACCAGGCCUGCAGGACCAAGUCCCCCAAAAUGCAACAAAAUGGGGGGGAUGGAUUUUGAUGGAGUGGGGAGUUUAGGAUAAAGGUGAUCAGUUUUUUAAAGGCCCGCCACAGUCAUUGAAUCUGGCAACAAAUAAGUUAUCUCUUAUUUUCAAAGAGUGAAAACUCACACUAUUUGAGAGUCAAUUUUACUCCCACUGACUAAGACUACGGACCAGACUUCUUAGAGUGAAAUAUCAUUCAGUCUAGUAAAUAGUGUUCACACGAGCUUCCACUAGGGUGGUUCUAUUUUUGUACCUCGUAAAAUGAAAGUGGUUUUAACUCUAAAUCGUCUGGUCCGUAUAGUUUCGUUCUUUGGAAUGUUGAGAUUUAAAGAUGAUUAUUGUCUUUGAUGGAUAGUUAUUUCCAAUUAAUUUUGAUUUCUGUGAACAAGAGAUAAAAUAUCAUAUUUCAAGCACUUGAUUAAAAUGUCUAGCAAAGAGAAAAAG